CAAGUCAGAAAUGGCUGGUUAAGUGUACAGGAGUCAGCCGAGGUCAUAGUAGUGGGUAACCAUGAAGGA
rnacentral:ncRNA from 1 species